UUAAAAAUAAAUGACUCUAUAACUUUUAGACCGUGAGGCCAAACUUGGCAUGUGAUACCUUUUCGGAAAGUCCAAAGAGAGCUCUCCAAUUAAUGAGGAAGGAAAAUGGAAUUCUUCUAUUGUUUUUUUUUCCACUCCAAAUUUUGACAUUAAUGUAAUUUUUCUGGCCUUUUCGUGUUCUUUGCUAUAUUACGGGGCAAAACUUAUAUGUUCGGACAUUGUUUUCAAAUAUUUUGCAUGUAUCAAAGCUCUUAUAAACAAGAUAGGGUAUUCCUACAUAGCUGGUGGGAUCCACGACAAAUAGAUCAUAAAGUAUUCAAAAA
rnacentral:sRNA from 1 species